ACGUUUAAAGAAAAUGUUGCUCAGUAGUUCAGUGAUUUUGUUAAUAUGCGUUGGCUUCAGUCAACAAUAUACAGAAGAUCAGCUACGGAGUCUCUUAAGUUAUGAUUGUUCCACAGACAGCAGCAUUGAAGUACGAGGGGUCCCAAAUGAGUAUACGGUGUCUGUGAUCAGUACAUCUUGCACGGUCUACCUAACUGCUCCAGGGGAAUAUAACAUUCCUAAUGCAUGCAAGGACGAGUUUACCAUGCAUCACAGGCAGAUAUAAUCUUGGAUUGGCAAUCUAAAAACUUCAUAAAUACAAGAGGCCAUCGGCCACAUGCUCACCUAAGGAACAAUAGACUUAUAACUACUGGGGAUACCAGCAUGGCUACCCAACUGAUGGGUAUUAUAGGACCACUUAUAGGUAUUACACAACUACUCAAUGGUACUACACCUCCACCACAGAUUACUAUGGUGAAGUCGACAUCUCCGUAUCUCACGGAACUCACUCUGGGAUUGUGGGAGGGAGAGAUCAUCAUGAGUUCCGCUUGAUCUGUGACAGCCUGCAUUCGGGUGGAAAGAUGUAUCGAGUGACGGGUGUUGUCAACAUAGACACAAGGUUAAGUGCAUUUACAAUUAAUUCCUAUUAUUUCAAAGACUUGCCCCACCUUAAUUUAGAAGUUGUUUUAUGCGACUUAUGCUUAAAAGAAUUUCUUUUUUCAAAUUCAUGAUUGAAAUUGCUAAAAAUGUACCACAAUAUUGUAAAUUCUAAAUUAAGACACAGCACAAUAUAUAUUUGUGUGUUCUGAACAUAUUUUUUUAAAGGACAUUUAUUAAAUAAUCACAAAUCCCUUCCUGCAUUUGAACACAAGAAGUCAGUAAAAAGGACAUGUAUAUUGGUGAUAUUAAUUAUAAAUCUUUGAACAUAAUAUCUGAUGUCUCACACACACACACACACACACACACACACACACACACACACACGAUUUGGUAUAAAAUAAAGUAUAUAAAAAUUUACCAAAUAAAAAAAGAUUUUAAUUGUUUUUUAUUUUAAAAAAUCUUCAUAAAAUUUGUAUCUUAUAAUUGGGACAUGAUUUCGUCAGCUCCAAUCAUGUGCUACCAACCUUAUCAUAUCGACAUCAAAAACAACAUCGUGCUGGCUACUACCAGUAUCCUGAUCUUCGUAUGACGGAUAGUGAAGGGCGGUCAGUCUAUAGCACUCACACUGGACAGCUGAUCUAUCUCCUUAUAUCCUCCCACGAUCCACGAUAUAUCGUCCGUCCAGAAAACUGUUCAGCCAGGAGCACCUUUUACUCAGAUCAUAAAGUGGAACUUUUUGAUGUACAUCAUUCUGGCUGUCUACUGGAGCCCUACCUGAUGGAGAUGUUCAGUUCCGUGGGUCACGGCCAGAGCAGCGUCAGGGCACCUGUCUACUCCUUCCACUUCCCAGGGGCAAGUUAUGUCACCUUCAUCUGUAACGUCCGCAUCUGUACCAAAUCCUCUUACAACUGCGACCUGGGUGUUUGUAAAUCCAAAAGAGCCGCUCGUGACGUCAGUGAUGACGGGGAACAUGGUCGUGAUCAGCUGUCUGUGUCUGUGUACGUAGGACGUCAAGCGUCAGGAGUGGGGAAGCUGUUGCAUCCGUCCACGCCCGCUAUUGUGAUCAUUCUCGCCUGGAUCACUGUAUUUCUUUAAUGAUGUCUGUACAGGAACAGUGACGGACUAAGCAGUUAUCUGAUAUGUCGAUAGAUACGUGUACAUGAUGCAUGACUUUAAAAAUCUGAAAUACAUUUAUAUCAUUUGAAUUAGUGUUUCUUAUUCAUUAUCAAUCUAAGUUCAAACUGAGUCAUCAAUCUAAAAUGUGUUGAUACAUGAUGGAACUGAUUUGGAUUGAGCAGCCACCUUUAAGGAAACAAAAACUUUCCUUUCCUGGCGUCUUUUAAAUAAAUCUGCUGAAUUUACAUAAUGUCAUAUGAAAAAGAAUAUUUACAUUUCUGCGUCCUUAAAAAGUUGUGUAUAAAAUGAUUCACACAUUAAACAAACU
rnacentral:misc_RNA from 1 species